rnacentral:rRNA from 1 species
CCUACGGGUGGCAGCAGUGAGGAAUAUUGGUCAAUGGGCGCGAGCCUGAACCAGCCAAGUAGCGUGAAGGAUGACUGCCCUACGGGUUGUAAACUUCUUUUAUAAAGGAAUAAAGUGAGGCACGUGUGCCUUUUUGUAUGUACUUUAUGAAUAAGGAUCGGCUAACUCCGUGCCAGCAGCCGCGGUAAUACGGAGGAUUCGAGCGUUAUCCGGAUUUAUUGGGGUUAAAGGGAUCGUAGGUGGGUUGUUAAGUCAGUUGUGAAAGUUUGCGUCUCAACCGUAAGAUUGCAAUUGAUACUGGCAGCCUUGAGUGCGGUUGAGGUAGGCGGAAUUCGUGGUGUAGCGGUGAAAUGCUUAGAUAUCACGAAGAACGCCGAUUGCGAAGGCAGCCUACUAAACUGCCACUGACGUUGAGGCACGAAAGUGUGGGUAUCAAACAGGAUUAGAUACCCGAGUAGUC